GCCAAACUCAGGAUGGCUGAGUCAGUAAAGCACAAGACUUUUAAUCUCAGGGUUGUGAGUUCAAACCCCACAAUGGGCA